AACGCACAUUGCGCCUUCUGUUACAGGAAGGCAUGCCUGUCUGAGCGUCAUUUAAACCAAUGGACAUAGUCCGUGUUGGGCGAUCGCCCCUGGCGUCGCCUCAAAGACAUUGGCCCAUAAGCGGAUGAGAUCCAUUAGGACCAGCCGUCUUGAAAGGCCCCCAAAUCUCUCUGAUUUGACCUCAGAUCAGGUAGGAUUACCGCCUGAACUUAA
rnacentral:misc_RNA from 1 species